AGUGAACGCUGGCGGUAGGCCUAACACAUGCAAGUCGAACGGCAGCACAGGAGAGCUUGCUCUCUGGGUGGCGAGUGGCGGACGGGUGAGGAAUGCAUCGGAAUCUACCUUGUCGUGGGGGAUAACGUAGGGAACCUUACGCUAAUACCGCAUACGACCUUCGGGUGAAAGUGGGGAACCGCAAGGCCUCACGCGAUUAGAUGAGCCGAUGUCGGAUUAGCUAGUUGGCGGGGUAAAAGCCCACCAAGGCGACGAUCCGUAGCUGGUCUGAGAGGAUGAUCAGCCACACUGGAACUGAGACACGGUCCAGACUCCCACGGGAGGCAGCAGUGGGGAAUAUUGGACAAUGGGCGCAAGCCUGAUCCAGCCAUACCGCGUGGGUGAAGAAGGCCUUCGGGUUGUAAAGCCCUUUUGUUGGGAAAGAAAUCUUGCCGGUUAAUACCUGGCGAGGAUGACGGUACCCAAAGAAUAAGCACCGGCUAACUUCGUGCCAGCCGCCGCCGUAAAAC
rnacentral:rRNA from 1 species